rnacentral:pre_miRNA from 1 species
CAAGUACUUACUCGGUCCGGAAAUAUUUGUCGGAGGAAUGGAUGUAUCUAGACGUAUUUUAGUGCUAGAUAUAUCCAUUUUUAUAUAUUUCUCCAACAAGUAUUUCAGGGCAAAGGGAGUAUUUC